rnacentral:rRNA from 1 species
UACGUAGGUGGCAAGCGUUGUCCGGAUUUAUUGGGUUUAAAGGGAGCGUAGGUGGCUUUGUAAGUCAGUGGUGAAAUAUUGCGGCUCAACCGCAAAACUGCCAUUGAUACUGCUUAGCUUGAAUCACGUCGAGGUGGAUGGAAUAAUACAUGUAGCGGUGAAAUGCUUAGAUAUGUAUUAGAACACCGAUUGCGAAGGCAGUUCACUAGGCGUGUAUUGACACUGAGGCUCGAAAGCGUGGGGAUCAAACAGG